GUGUAAACCCAGUACCGAGGUGAGUGGGCGGCGACGACUUGGGGCUCGGUUCCGUCCGCUGCAUUUCUCCUUCCGGACCCCGCCGCUUCCUCCCGGCGGGCUGGGAGUGGUGGGAGGCUUGGCGCAUAGUGUGCUCGCCCACCUUCCUCUCCCGCGCCCUUCGGGGAGCGCGGCCUCCCCGACCCCCGCGGAGCCGCCGGGUAGAGCGCCUGGAGGAAGGUGCUCUCCGCGCAGUGGGCUGCGGGCUGCUUCCGAGUCGGGAUCUCGAGCUGCGCCGGAGGUCCGGGGAGCUGAGUUCCAGUCGUGUGCCGCUGGUUUGUGAUCUUCUGCAAUGGGUGAGCCACAGCAAGUGAGUGCCCUUCCGCCACCUCCGAUGCAGUACAUCAAGGAAUACACAGAUGAAAACAUUCAGGAAGGCCUCGCUCCCAAGCCUCCACCUCCAAUAAAAGACAGUUACAUGAUGUUUGGCAACCAGUUCCAAUGUGAUGAUCUUAUCAUCCGCCCUUUGGAAAGUCAGGGUAUCGAACGGCUUCAUCCUAUGCAGUUUGAUCACAAGAAAGAACUGAGAAAACUCAAUAUGUCUAUCCUUAUUAAUUUCUUAGAUCUCUUAGAUAUCUUGAUAAGGAGUCCUGGGAGUAUAAAACGGGAAGAGAAGCUAGAAGAUCUUAAGCUGCUUUUUGUGCAUGUACAUCAUCUCAUAAAUGAAUACCGGCCCCACCAAGCCAGAGAGACCCUGAGAGUCAUGAUGGAGGUGCAGAAGCGGCAACGCCUUGAGACAGCAGAGAGGUUUCAGAAGCAUCUGGAACGAGUCAUUGAGAUGAUUCAGAAUUGCUUGGCUUCUUUGCCUGAUGACUUGCCCCAUUCAGAAGCAGGGAUGAGAGUAAAAGCUGAACCAAUGGACGCUGAUGAUAGCAACAAUUGUACUGGACAGAGUGACCAACAAAGAGAAAAUUCAGGUCAUAGGAGAGACCAGAUUAUAGAGAAAGAUGCUGCCUUGUGUGUCCUCAUUGAUGAAAUGAAUGAAAGACCGUGAAAGAUGUUUCUUUUCCUUGCUGAUUUUUUCCUUUCAGUAAAUAGCAUAUAUAUUAGUUAAUUCACUUUUAGAGAAUUCUUUGAAGAGAUACAACUAGUAGAAGGCACGCGAACAGCUUGACUCUCCAGCUUUAUCAGUUGUGGGACGUCACAGGCAGUAUUUUCGUCUGUGGCAAGCAUAGCUAGAUUCCUACUUAGCUUAAAUGUAGUGCCCCAGUGAGAGUAAUCACCGUGAAGGGCAGUGUUCGCUGCUAUUGGGUGGAACGUCCCUGUUUUCAGAGGUGCAGUGAGCUGGAAGAUAUCCUCAGUAAUUGCAAGCUUUCGUCCUUGGAAAGUAGAUUUGUCAUUUGCUUUAAGAGUGAUAAAUAAUAAAGGAUAUCAAACUAUGUAAAUGUGAACUUAGGAAAUCUUUUGAUUUAUUCCUCUUAAAAGAUGGCUUAAUCUCUUUAAAAAAAAAUAGUGUUACAUGUUAAAAGAGAGAAACCCCAUAAGAGUUAUAAAACAGUAAUUUUAUUUUUCCUCUUGACUGCGCCUUAUAAAUAUUCUAUCCCAGCCUCUUGGUCCUUAUUCUGGAUGGGUUCCAGAACUUUCUUCUGGCCACUGUGACAAGUCCUUUGAUCACUUAUAGUUAUAUUCACUUUAAUAAUUAAGGUGCCCAUACAUUACAUUUCCUAAACUUGGAGUUGCUUAAGGCUGGAAGCCUGCUAUGGGUAGGGGGCUUGGUGGCAGAGACUGCUGGAUGUCCACUGGAGAUUCUUGCUCCCCUGAGAUGUGCUGCCCUGCCAGGGACUUCAUUUCUCCAUUCCCCUUGCAUAUCUGUGAGGCCACGUGACUGAGUUCUUAACAGUGAAAUAUGGUGUAAAAAUCUAGGCCUGCCCCAUAAAAAUUUUUUGCCUCGUCAUUCUCUUCUCAUCUGCUGGUGUUACGGUCACACCCAGGAAAAGUUUGGAAGUCACUUGAAGAUGGCAGAAGUUCAGUCCAGGAGUUCCUGUUGUGGCACAGCAGAAAUGAAUCUGCUAGUAUCCAUGUGGAUGUGGGUUCAAUUCCUAGCCUCGCUCAGUUGCUUAGGGAUUUGGGGUUGCCGUGAGCUGUGAUGUAGUUCAUAGACGUGACUCAGAUUGCUGUGGCUCAAGCCACAACAUGGCUUGGAUUGCCCUGUGGCUGUGGCUGUGGCCAGCAGCUGUUGCUCCAGUUUGACCCCUAGCCUAGGAACCUCUAUAUACUGCAGGCGUGGCCCUAAAAGGCCAAAAAAAAAAAAAAAAAAGAAAA
ensembl:lncRNA